rnacentral:rRNA from 1 species
GACGAACGCUGGCGGCGUGCUUAACACAUGCAAGUCGAACGGAAAGGCCUGCUUUCCCUUGUGGAUUGCGGGUACUCGAGUGGCGAACGGGUGAGUAACACGUGAGUGAUCUGCCCCCAACUUGGGUAUAAGCCUGGGAAACUGGGUCUAAUUCCCGAUAGGACUGCAGUGUGGUGCCUGUUGUGGAAAACGAUUUUCUAGUGGUUGGGGAUGAGCUCGCGGCCUAUCAGCUUGUUGGUGGGGUAAUGGCCUACCAAGGCGGCGACGGGUAGCCGGCCUGAGAGGGUGGACGGCCACAUUGGGACUGAGAUACGGCCCAGACUCCUACGGGAGGCAGCAGUGGGGAAUAUUGCACAAUGGGCGGAAGCCUGAUGCAGCGACGCCGCGUGGGGGAUGACGGCCUUCGGGUUGUAAACUCCUUUCGACCGCGAGGAAGCCACCUGGUUGGAAGGGUGGUGACGGUAGUGGUAGAAGAAGCACCGGCUAACUACGUG